UUUAGCUUUUUUGUCACCUUGUGUAGUCAUCCUAUUGAGCGUUGGGUAAAAGACUAUUGGAUCUUCAUCUCACUAGAGAUUCCCGUCAUGUCUCCCACCUUUCCCACCACCAUCUCCUUGCAACUUAACACCAUCUUCGCCACAGUUAUCAUAACACUCAUCUAUCAAGGAACUAAAGUCCCAUCCAUACACGCUUCUUUUAGAUAACUCCCCAUCACUUGAGUUCUUCCAUCCCUUUUGUCUACAUAUGUAGCUUCCACUAUCCCAGAGACCUUCUUCAAUUAUUCUUACAAGGUGAAUAGAUCCAUUGAAUCUUAUUCUCUUAUGUAUUAAAAUAGGUCGUGGUAAUGCCACUUUGACUAACACUUUGAUUUGAUCGAGUCUCUAUUUUUCUUCUAUGUCUUCUUCCACCAUGAUGAACUUGCUGAUGGGAGCUACUAGUUAGGAUAUACAGUCCUCACCUCACACGUGUAAUGGAACCCCCCAUCUUGAGAGCCAUAUGAUCUUAUUCUUUAUUUUUAAGCUUGGGUCCCAUUUUUGUAUUGAGUGGAACAUCGCAAAUAACCCUUAAUCCUCCUCUUUGGCUCUAUUAAUAACCUCUACAUCUUUAAUAUCGAAGAUCAGCACCGUCAGAUCUCCAAUAUAGUUCAGUUUCAGAUUCCCUAUACCACCUACAAGAUACACUUCAUCUAGCCUAUUGAACCAAGACAAAUAUUUUAGUUUACCCACAGAACUUUGUUUUAACCACUCUUGUAUCUCACCAUGUGUAUGUAUGUCCUGACCCCACCACAGUUCUUCAUGCUUUCCCACUUGGUUUACCCCUUUAGCUUUCCAUUUAUGCUUCUUUGUCCCAUCCCCUUGUCUAACUGCUUGGGCAUAGUUUUGAUUGUGAUUCGAAGUACUCCCCUUCCUCUUCCAACCCACCCUUUCUUUGUCAUUUUCCAUAAUUACCUUACUAUUUCAUUCACUGUCUUUGUUAUUUGUUGUAUCAGUUCGAUUGUCUUUAACCACCCCUUUGUCGAACCUUGGGAGAUUGACCCUCAUUUGUGCAUUUCUUAUGUAAAUGUUGUUCAACUCAUGUUCCAUCCACCUCUCAUUCUGAGCAUUUAGGAAUCAUAUAAAACCAUAUAUAUACCUCCACUUAUCCUUUCUAUUUGGAAUAUAUAUUUCCCACACCUUCCCCCUCUUUAACAAUACCUUCUAGAGAUCUUCAUACUCACACCCAUCUAGAAAGUUUGAGAAAAAAAUAGGUGAUUACAUGACCUAGUGGCCUCACCGUCCCUCUUAGCAUAGUGUUUUCCUUCACUCUCCGAGAUCUCGCUCCUCUCCCCCCUCUCAUCGCAGUCGAUCUACUUUGCGGCACAUGCUUUUUCGGUUUUGUGGAAACAUGAUUUUCGUUGCCAGAAGAUCAAGCAUAUUACAUGGGUAUAUUGGGAUGUCUAUAUAGUUUCGUUCACAAGGCGACAUAAUCUUGCACCAGUCACAGAAAACUAGGCUUGGACAUAUUCUAUUGCAUCUUCCAAGGACCUGAAUAAAUGAGACAAAUAUUGACCUUAUUAUAUUGGAUUUGAAUGAUUGGUACAAUUAGCUAGAGUAUGCAAAUUAAGGUAACCAUGUCACAACAAAAUGUACUUCUGUAGGAUUGCUCCGAAACAGAUCUAUUGAUAAUUUCACACCAAAAAGAACAAAAAGAAAGAUCUAUUGAUAACUUUGGCUCUUCAAUUCGUAUGUCUUUUGACACAGUGAGUGUGGAGGCAGAGUGCCACAAGCUGAAAACUUGAAAGUAUGUUUAGUUUCAUAAUAUUUGUUUUGUAGAAAUCAGCAAGAUUUUAAAAAAUCAAUAGAGUUUAUGACUAUAAUUUUGACUGCAA